GGGCAGUUAGCUCAGUUUGGUUAGAGCGUCUGGUUUACACCCAGAAGGUCACAGGUCCGAAUCCUGUACUGCCCA
rnacentral:tRNA from 1 species